UACGUAGGGGCCGAGCGUUGUCCGGAGUUACUGGGCGUAAAGCGCGCGCAGGCGGCUCGUCAAGCCUGACGUGAAAGCCCCCGGCUCAACCGGGGAGGGUCGUCGGGGACUGGCGGGCUUGAGGUCGGCAGGGGUUGGUGGAAUUCCCGGUGUAGAGGUGAAAUUCGUAGAUAUUGGGAAGAACACCAGUGGCGAAGGCGGCUAACUGGUCCAGAUCUGACGCUGAGGUGCGAAAGCGUGGGGAGCAAACAGG
rnacentral:rRNA from 1 species